UAGUUCGGAUUGUAGGCUGAAACCCGCCUACAUGAAGCUGGAAUUGCUAGUAAUCACAGGUCAGCAUACUGUGGUGAAUACGUUCCCGGGCCUUGUACACACCGCCCGUCACACCAUGAGAGUUGAGAAUACCCGAAGCCCAUGUCAAAGUGGUCGAAGGUAGGCUUGAUGAUUGGGGUGAAGUCGUAACAAGGUACC
rnacentral:rRNA from 1 species